rnacentral:lncRNA from 1 species
AACUUUGCUUGUUGAGAUUAAACACUUUGAAAUUUGAAAACUAUUAGGAAAUUUUGACUUUUUACCAUUUGUUCUUUUUCAUGUUUUAAAAACUAGAUAUUUUACCAGAACAAAUUAGUUAUCAGCUGCAUGACACUCAUUUUAAAAAAUCACCUUAUUGCCAGUAUUCUAUUGCUCAGUUUCCUCCAGCUUUACAGUCUGAAUCUUUAUAAAAUCAUUUCAACACUUAUAGAUUGGAUCCACAGGACAGUGAUGGUGGACAGUGUGGAUUUAGUUCUCGUGAAUUAAAUAAACCCACUUAUGUGGUUGCUCAUGAUGCUGAAGAUGGAUACCCUGGAAUAAAAAGGUCCAGACCAACCUAUUCUUCCUCGAGAAAUAAGGGACAGGAAGAAUUCUGUGUAGUUUGUGGUGAUAAAGCAUCACCAUCACCAUAUCAUUAUAAUGCACUUACCUGUGAAGGUUGCAAUUUUUUCAAUGUAGCAUCAACAAAAUGCAGUAUAUAGUUGCAGGAAUGGUAGUCACUGUGAAAUGGACAUGUACAUGCGUAGAAAAUGUCAAGAGUGCAGACUGAAAAAGUAUAAGGCAGUAGGAAUGUUGGCAGAUUUGCUCACAGAAAUCCAAUGUAAAUUAAAGAGACUUCAAAAGAACUUUAAGGAGAAGAAUCAUUUUUACUCUAACAUCAAAGUGGAAGAGGAAGGAGUAGACCACAGUUUUCUAUCAUCCACCACUAGACCUGGAAAAGUGGCAAGGCUUUUCUUAUAAAAUUUGUUUCUUUAAUUAUGGUGUUUUGUUUAAUAAUUAUGAAUUCUAUAUUUAUAAUUUUCCUCCUAUAUUUUCUUAUAGAUUCAGGAAAGCAUAGCUGCAGGAACAUACAAAUCCUGAACUGAGCUUUUUGCAACUCUCAGAGACAGCAGUCCUACACAUACGUGGGCUAAUGAAUUUUACCAAGGGGCUCCCAUUUGAAAAUUUGGCCAAUGAGGAUCAAACUGCACUACAGAAGGGAUCAAAAACUGAAGUGAUAUUUCUCCAUGGGGCCCAACUUUACAGUCAGAAACAAUCAGCCUUACUGAAGAAUUUAUUACACACUGUUUUACUUCUACAAAAGAAUGAGCAAACUUGAUGUAACUAAUACUGAAUAUGCUCUGCUUGCAGCAACAAUUGUUUUUUAUUUUUCAGAUCGUCCAUGCCUUAAAAAUAAGCAAUAUAUGGAAAAUUUAUAAGAACCAGUUUUACAAAUAUUGUAUAAGUAUUCAAAAAUGUAUCAUCCAGAAGACCCAUAGCAUUUUGCCCAUCUCAUAUGGAAGCAUACUGAACUGAGAACUCUGAAUUAUAACCAUUCAGAAAUACUUAGCACUUGGAAAACAAAGGACCCCAAAU